rnacentral:rRNA from 1 species
GUAGGUGGCAAGCGUUGUCCGGAAUUAUUGGGCGUAAAGCGCGCGCAGGCGGUCCUUUAAGUCUGAUGUGAAAGCCCACGGCUCAACCGUGGAGGGUCAUUGGAAACUGGGGGACUUGAGUACAGAAGAGGAAAGCGGAAUUCCAAGUGUAGCGGUGAAAUGCGUAGAGACUUGGAGGAACACCAGUGGCGAAGGCGGCUUUCUGGUCUGUAACUGACGCUGAGGCGCGAAAGCGUGGGGAGCAAACAGGGAUUAGAUACCCUGGUAGUCCACGCCGUAAACGAUGAGUGCUAAGUGUUAGGGGGCUUCCGCCCCCUUAGUGCUGCAGCUAACGCAUUAAGCACUCCGCCUGGGGAUACGGCCGCAAGGCUG